AAGCUAUCUCUUUAAUAGAGCAAUCCUAGACCUUGAAGAGGAUGAAAAUCGAGUGUGACGAGCUUCUCACGCUUGUCUGGAUGUUUUCAUGCCAUAAACAGUAGAUACCAACUUCUUUGAAAUAGAAGCAAGCAGCUAACUCAAAACACGUGUCUUUCUUUGACCACAAUGUGAAAGCUAGAUUGGGUGUUCUAUCAGAAAGAGUUUUUGAGGGAGGAAGAACGUCUCCUUCCACAAGAUCAGCAAGAUUAUAACUUAAGGAAUAUCAGAAAUUGGACGCUCCAAGGUAGGUAGUUGGGGCCGACCAGUUUUUGGGAAACAGGUUGGGAACUGGCUUUGAAAGUUGGUUUGGGAAGGGAAUGAAUGUCAUUGGAGGUAGGUGCAUCGGAAGCCAUGAGAAAAUACGGUAUUGUAGUGUUGGAAGCGGAAGCGUAGGAGCAGGAUCAGGCGUGUGCCGUUUUACCAGCUGAUACCAUGAAAGAAAAUAAGCUGUCACAGUGAUCAGAAUUGUGUUGCACG
rnacentral:lncRNA from 1 species